UACCCAAAACCUAGCACCUGUUUGGAUUAAGGGUUAUGAAACCUUAGUUUUAGGGUUUCCAUAAUACCCACUUUACCCUCAAACCUCUCCCACUCAUCUACUGAUUUGUUUCCUCCAUUGUUGCCUUCAACCUGUGUUAAGCAUGUAUCUUCAAUCCCUUUUCAUCCCCUUCGAUCCCUCUUCUUCCUUCCGUUUUUUGUUGUUUCUUCGUCUCCCUCAUCUCCUCCAUUUGCAUUUUCUGUUCACAAAUCUCAACUCUCCCACCUUCAUAUGUCAAUUUAUCUCCCUCAUUUUUCCCUUUAACCCGUGUAUACGAUGCAUCCUUAAUCUGUGUUAAACCCCUUCAAUCCCUCGUCUUUCUUCCAUUUUUUGUUGUUUCUUCAUCUCCCUCAUUUGCUCCAUUUGCGUUUUUUGUUCUAUUUAUGUAUGAGAUUCGGGCGUUGCCCUUUGCCGAUAAAAAAUAUGAACCCCCUUUUCAUGAAAAAUGGGUUUUCUUUCGUGACACUGAAUUCCCAUCUACAUCUCUCUCAUCCAUCUCUCUCAAUCCCCAAAGUGAUACUCGUGUUUUGUUGAAGGCGACCCCUUUAAUGGCGUUGCCUCCAAACACAUUUCCAUUUUCGGAUCUAUGGCUUUCAUUGAAAGACUGGGUCCAAUCCUUGCUUCCGAAACCAUUCGAUGGGUCUUCUAUGUGAACAACCAUCUUCCUUUUGUCCCUUGAAUUUUUCCUUGCUGCUCGAGGUUUCCUUUUUGUUGCUCGGUGUUUUCCUUACCGUUUUGAGUUUUUCUUGGCUGAUAAGACAGACACUCCAUACCGUUGUGCGGCAAUGGGUGCCUAUCGUGUAUGGUAGGGAGAGAUUCCCUGUCUUCUUUUUUCCGUGUGGCUAUUCAAAGGCAUCAAAACUCCACCCAUUUCUGCCAUCUACCUUCUAGGUCGUAUUGGUCAUCAUAGAAGGUAUGUAUACGUAAUAUUUCUUCCAUUCUUUUCUUCCAUAUCUUCUAUUAUGUAGAAAUCUACCAUUCUACGUCCCUUGUGCGUUUUCUAAUGUUCUUUAUCUUAUGCAGGACGUCCC